UGGGAGGAACCUUGCCUUUUUGCACUGGUCAGUCCACCACAUCAAGAUUAGGGCUUAGACUGGAAAGCAGUGACAUGCCACGUGUAGAAUCAGAGUUUCUCAGGUUGUUAUUGGCAUUUAGGGGCCUGUUAGGAUCAGACUGGGUCACCUAUCCUCAGUAAAACAAAUACAAAGA
rnacentral:lncRNA from 1 species